rnacentral:rRNA from 1 species
UGUAAAUGCCUGGCCGGUGGCCGGGGUAAUACGGGGGAGGCAAUCGUUAUCCGGGUUUUUUGGGUUUAAAGGGUCCGGAGGCGGGCUGAUAUGUCAGUGGUGAAAGCCGGCAGCUUAACUGUCGAACUGCCAUUGAUACUGUUAGUCUUGAGUGAAUUUGAAGUUGCCGGAAUAUGUAGUGUAGCGGUGAAAUGCGUAGAUAUUACAUAGAACACCUAUUGCGAAGGCAGGUAACUAAGAUUUAACUGACGCUGAUGGACGAAGGCGUGGGGAGCGAACAGGAUUAGAUACCCUAGUAGUC